rnacentral:rRNA from 1 species
UACGUAGGGGGCAAGCGUUGUCCGGAUUUAUUGGGCGUAAAGAGCGUGUAGGCGGCUUUACAGGUCCGUUGUGAAAACUCGAGGCUCAACCUCGAGACGCCGGUGGAAACCGUAAAGCUAGAGUCCGGAAGAGGAGAGUGGAAUUCCCGGUGUAGCGGUGAAAUGCGCAGAUAUCGGGAAGAACACCUAUGGCGAAGGCAGCUCUCUGGGACGGUACUGACGCUGAGACGCGAAAGCGUGGGGAGCGAACAGG